ACUUUACAAGAGGAAGCUUUUUAUCGCAGCCCCUUCCUACUGUCAUUGAAUGCAGCUCUGUGAGGACAUGAUAUUUGAAGCUGCAGAAGCUAAGGUGGCAAAAGAUGGCAGAACAGAAGAGCAGACAGAAUCUGAGUCCUAGAUGACAUCACUGCACUGCUGCAACUGCCUUCUCCAGACCUCUUGCCAGGUCUGUGGGUCCCUAUGGAAACACUGACAAGAACAGGUGGAAGAAAUAUGUGGUCAUCGGUUAAAAACCCUGCAGGGUUCAAAGAAGGGCACUCUUACAUCAUGUGAUGGGUGAGCUGUAGUCAUUCGGUGAGGGGAACUCCAGAAGACUGGAUCCAACUCGCAACCAGCUACAGUGAAGUUAUGAUAUGAGAAGCACUGACUUGGCACAAGACUUGGGAAAGGCAAUGAGGCAGCAGGCAAGCUUUACGGGAUGACACUUACCUUGAGGGAGCAAGGACAAGUUGUGACCUUCCCAGUCCUCUCUCCAUUUGCAGAUCAGCAAGCUUCUGUCAGCAAGGAGGGGUGGACAAUGAAACUCUUUGGGUUCAGCUUGAUUGUUUUUUGAGACAGGUGUUGCAAGGGACUGCCAAAAAGGCUACAGGUGUUGCUGCAUGUUCUUGGGGUUGUUAAUGGAGCACAGACAGGAAUACCACCCAUGGCAGCUCUGCAACUUAUUCUAAGACUUUUAGACCAAGAGGCAGGAAAGAGUGAAGGAAUGAUCACCACACUGUACCAGGGGUAUACUGGUGAGAGAUUGAGCUGCAGAAGAAACAGUCACCUGGAGCGUGUUCCUAUGUUGCCUGGAAGCUGCACAAGAGACCAAGUCAAAACAUGCAGAAUUCCAGUUGCCCAUGAUGUCACAGGCUGAGGCCCACACUCCAGAGACACUGUGGACUGACUGGCACCUCUGAGCUGACCUAAUAAUGAUUGCACCAUUACAGCUCCGAUUCUACAGAACAAUACAUAGCCAGUU